rnacentral:rRNA from 1 species
CAGUAGCCGCGGGAAUACGUAGGUGGCAAGCGUUGUCCGGAAUUAUUGGGCGUAAAGCGCGCGCAGGCGGUUAGAUAAGUCUGAAGUUAAAGGCUGUGGCUUAACCAUAGUACGCUUUGGAAACUGUUUAACUUGAGUGCAAGAGGGGAGAGUGGAAUUCCAUGUGUAGCGGUGAAAUGCGUAGAUAUGUGGAGGAAUACCGAUGGCGAAGGCAGCCCCCUGGGAUAACACUGACGCUCAUGCACGAAAGCGUGGGGAGCAAACAGGAUUAGAGACCCCAGUAGUCCCUGUCUCUUAUACA